UAAAAAAAAGUUGGAUCCUUAAGAGGUUUUAAAACAUUAACAAAGCAGUUUGUUCAUUUACAGCUGGCUCCAGAUUGCUCCUUUAAGGUUGAACAUUCAAGGUGACUGCUUAUUUCUAAACUUCACGGAAGGAGGAUUCCCCACAGGUGCCUUGGAGACUGGUGGAGAAUAUGGAACCGUUGCGUCUCACCCAAAAUCCUCUCAGGCACAGCCAAUUGAAGUGCAUGCAGGAGGAGACAGCAUCACGUUCCUCUGAGCUAGACUGCUACUCAGGGACAGAAAACAAAGAGAAAUUAAAUGACUUUAUCACCAAGAGAUUCAGCUGGAAUGUAGAGGGACUGUACCGUUUUGUUUACCUUGCCUUGUCUUUAUGUUACCUACCAGACCUGUAAAGAAAUUAACAAAACAUUUAAAGAUUUUUUGUGGAAAGAAUUUAUACAAAUAAAUCUGUUCUGUCUAGUAAA